CCUGUGACACAGUUUAACGGCCGCGGUAUACUGACCGUGCAAAGGUAGCGUAAUCACUUGUCUUUUAAAUGGAGACCUGUAUGAAUGGCAUAACGAGGGCUAAACUGUCUCCUCUCCUCUGUCAAUGAAAUUAAUCUCCCCGUGCAGAAGCGGGGAUAUCGUUAUAAGACGAGAAGACCCCAUGGAGCUUUAGGCACCUAGAAAACUCAUAUAGAAUAACUACUAUACUAGAAAGAAAUUGUCUUUUUCUACUGCUUUUGGUUGGGGCGACCAAGGAGGAAAAACAAGCCUCCAUGUGGAAUGAGAGUAUUUCUCUUACAGCUAUGGCUUACCUGUCUACGCAACAGUAUCUGACUUUAGUGAUCCGGCUUAAAGGCCGAUCAGCGAACCGAGUUACCCUGGGGAUAACAGCGCAAUCCUUUCCAAGAGUUCUUAUCGACGAAGGGGUUUACGACCUCGAUGUUGGAUCAGGACAUCCUGAUGGUGUAGCCGCUAUUAAGGGUUCGUUUGUUCAACGAUUAAAGUCCUACGUGAUCUGAGUU
rnacentral:rRNA from 1 species